CCCUACGGCCCUGCCACCCUGAACACGCCCGAUCCCGUCUGACCUCGGAGCUAAGCAGGGGCAGGCCUGGUAGGUACUUGGAUGGGAGACCACCUAGGAAGACCGGGUGCUGUAGGUA
rnacentral:rRNA from 1 species